rnacentral:rRNA from 1 species
UUUAAUUUCGAUGAUACGCGAGGAACCGUUACCCUGGGCUCGAACGUAAGAUGACUGUAGGUGAAAGCUUACAUCUCUUCGGAGCAUUUUACGAGGUGCUGCAUGGUUGUCGUCAGCUCGUGCCGUGAGGUGUCGGGUUAAGUCCGUAACGAGCGCAACCCUUGUCCUUAGUUACCAGCACGUUAUGGUGGGCACUCUAAGGAGACUGCCGGUGACAAACCGGAGGAAGGUGGGGAUGACGUCAAGUCAUCAUGGCCCUUACGGCCUGGGCUACACACGUGCUACAAUGGUCGGUACAAAGGGUUGCCAAGCCGCGAGGUGGAGCUAAUCCCAUAAAACCGAUCGUAGUCCGGAUCGCAGUCUGCAACUCGACUGCGUGAAGUCGGAAUCGCUAGUAAUCGUGAAUCAGAAUGUCACGGUGAAUACGUUCCCGGGCCCU